GUGUGUGUGUGUGUGUGUGUCGCUUUCUUUUCCUCUUGUUUCAAACUUUGUCUCUUUCGCCAGGUUUCCCCUUGACUUGACUUCCUUAUCUUUUCUUGCUCUUUGGUCUCUUCACUCUAAUUCAGGUUGAUUUUAACACUUGUUGCUGACCUUCCACUGUUCCUGUACCUGAUGCAUCUCCCUCCUUGCGUCAAACACGCUGACACAACCGCUAUUGCUGUUCCGCUGUUGCUGCUCCUCACUACCUACUGGAGCGCCAUCCAUUAUGUAAAAAUUGAAGACUUAUCCAUGUGCUGCAUCAGCCACUUAACACCCGUCACUUUACCUCCACGCCUUCAGAUGCAGACGUGACUCGUAUUGGUGACGAUGUGACGAAGAUGAGGGAGAAAGAGAAGAGAAGAGGAGACUUCAAAGCGUGUAUUGGUCGAUGUUCCGUGCAGUCUCGUCUCUUGGCUGUGAACAUUCCGUCUGUCGCCUGGUUCCAUGCGUCAAUGCAACAUUCUUCAUCUUGGAAGAACUUCAUCAAUGACAGCGGAACUCGCUCUUUCAUAAGAGGGUGCAUCAGCUACCAAUUGUCUAAGUUAAUGUAACAUUGUGUGUCAGACUCCUUGAUUGACAGUGUAGCCGGUUAAUGAAUAUCAGAGCUGUUAAGAGUCUGAGGGGCUCCCAAAUAUACAAUUUCCCAAAUAUACAACUAAGUUAUUUAUUUAUUUA